GGCGAACGCUGGCGGCGUGCUUAACACAUGCAAGUCGAACGAUGAAGCCUAGCUUGCUAGGUGGAUUAGUGGCGAACGGGUGAGUAAUACGUGAGUAACCUACCUUUAACUCUGGGAUAAGCCUGGGAAACUGGGUCUAAUACCGGAUACGACCAAUCUCCGCAUGGGGUGUUGGUGGAAAGCGUUAUGUAGUGGUUAUAGAUGGGCUCACGGCCUAUCAGCUUGUUGGUGAGGUAACGGCUCACCAAGGCGACGACGGGUAGCCGGCCUGAGAGGGUGACCGGCCACACUGGGACUGAGACACGGCCCAGACUCCUACGGGAGGCAGCAGUGGGGAAUAUUGCACAAUGGGCGCAAGCCUGAUGCAGCGACGCCGCGUGAGGGAUGACGGCCUUCGGGUUGUAAACCUCUGUUAGCAGGGAAGAAGAGAGAUUGACGGUACCUGCAGAGAAAGCGCCGGCUAACUACGUG
rnacentral:rRNA from 1 species